AGGACGUGGGUGAAAUAUUGAAAAUCGUUCAACAAAUCAAGGCCUCCGGUUGAUUGCUUGUUGACUAACAUAAGGAAAGAAGAUUAUAACCUUCCAAAUCGCCAAUGAGAUAUAUAAACACUUUAAACAUUUAAAUGUAAUUCAAUAAAUAAAGUACCUAAUAAAGCAUUAUCAAAUUGA